UCGCUGGCCUCACCUUCGUCCCUGCCCUGGCUGGGAUACUAGUUAGCAGCUAACUUUUGCCAUGUCCAGUCAUCAAGUGGAACUGUGACAGCAGGAACGCAGGAAACUGAUUGAAACUGGCAGAUAUUGUAAAGGAAGAACCAGCAGGACUUGGUGGCAGACUGGUCACGAAGUAACUGAAGGCUAAGUUGCCGGUCUGUGCACCCUGGGAGGGAAACAUGAGAAAAGAGGACCAUGCAGCCCAAAGCCCGAGAGGGGAGGAGCAGAGCAAUGUCAGCUUUUGGAAUGCACAUCACAGGACCUGUGAUACAGUUGCCUGUGGAUCCUUGCUUAGCUCUGGGAGUGCUGCAAAGGGGAACAGCAAGAAGAGUGCAAAGGUCUAACGAACUCUCAUCUGGCAUCCUCAACACAGGUCGAGUGAUCCAUGCUUCCACCUCCAUCCAGGUAAGAGGACUGGUCCUGCUGUGGGCUUUGUGAGUGUGAAUUUGGAGAGGGCCCCAAGAUACCCUGGAAGAGGCCAUGAUGGCAGAGCUGAUGAAGUGGGCUGCAGUCAGGAGAAAGACGCUUGGCACACCAUGGAUCGUUAGUGUGGUUCGGCCUCCAGCAAGGUGACGGGAGUGAGGUUUGGAGCACACAGCAAGGUGAUGCAAUUCCCUGCCUGAAUGGUGAGCAGAAAAAGGAUGACCAGCUGUAUAGCCUCCCAGGUCAGCACCACGGACAGCAGACUUAUUGGCAGGUACUUAGCAUGUGGAUCUAGGUGAUAUCAAAGGCAGAGCAUUAUACAUGUUUUGCUGAGCCAGCCAAGCAGAGGACAAGCUCCCGUUUUGAGGCUCCACGGAAGGUGAGCUGCACCCUCUCUCUUCAGCAUCUUUCCAGUCUGUCCCCCAGCUCUCCAGAUUCAUCACCACCACAGGAAGACAGCGAAUCCCAGGUUAUAAAGCCGUACUUCAUCAGGCAGAAAAUCCUGAGAUGGUGAUGUCACAAUCUGGUGGAACCUACAGCAGCACGGGUCCCUGAAUGAUGGUGUGGAGCAGAGCCCCAGGCCCAACAGCAUUGGUGUAUGCAGAGAAAAGCUGUAUGAGGACACAGCGAGAAGGCAGCCAUUUGCAAGCCAGGAAUAGAGCUCCUUCCAGAAACCAACCCUGAUGACCUCUUGAUCUUGGACUUCCAGCCUCC